rnacentral:rRNA from 1 species
UGUUUCGGCUAGGGGGCCAUCCCGGCUUACCAACCCGAUGCAAACUGCGAAUACCGGAGAAUGUUAUCACGGGAGACACACGGCGGGUGCUAACGUCCGUCGUGAAGAGGGAAACAACCCAGACCGCCAGCUAAGGUCCCAAAGUCAUGGUUAAGUGGGAAACGAUGUGGGAAGGCCCAGACAGCCAGGAUGUUGGCUUAGAAGCAGCCAUCAUUUAAAGAAAGCGUAAUAGCUCACUGGUCGAGUCGGCCUGCGCGGAAGAUGUAACGGGGCUAAACCAUGCACCGAAGCUGCGGCAGCGAACGUAUCACUUAAAGCGAUUCAGCGGGUUACGAUUGACGGAGCGAAGCGACGUCAAAGCGUAUACAAAGUCGAGUCGGUUUAAGGAUACGUUCGUUGGGUAGGGGAGCGUUCUGUAAGCCUGUGAAGGUGGCCUGUGAGGGUUGCUGGAGGUAUCAGAAGUGCG